UACCAGCACCCCGAGUGGUCGGGACGAUUAUUGGGCCUAAAGCAUCCGUAGCCGGUCUUGCAAGUCUUCCGUUAAAUCCAGCUGCUUAACAGAUGGGCUGCGGAAGAUACUACAAGACUAGGAGGUGGGAGAGGCAAGCGGUACUCAGUGGGUAGGGGUAAAAUCCUCUGAUCCAUUGAAGACCACCAGUGGCGAAGGCGGCUUGCCAGAACGCGCUCGACGGUGAGGGAUGAAAGCUGGGGGAGCAAACCGGG
rnacentral:rRNA from 1 species